rnacentral:rRNA from 1 species
CAGAACGAACGCUGGCGGCAUGCCUAACACAUGCAAGUCGAACGAGACCUUCGGGUCUAGUGGCGCACGGGUGCGUAACGCGUGGGAAUCUGCCCAAAGGUUCGGAAUAACUCGGGGAAACCCGUGCUAAUACCGGAUAAUGUCUUCGGACC